UUAUGAUUCAAACUUAAUAGUAUUGUAGCCUAUAACAAGGCUCUAGAUAAGAGCU
rnacentral:rRNA from 1 species